GGGGGGGGGGCAAGCGUUGUUCGGGAAUUACUGGGGCGUAAAGGGCGCGCAGGCGGCCUGGCCAGUCCUACGUGAAAUCCCACAGCUCAACUGUGGAACUGCGUGGGAUACUGCCAGGCUUGAGUCCGGGAGAGGAGAGUGGAAUUCCCAGUGUAGCGGUGAAAUGCGUAGAUAUUGGGAGGAACACCGGUGGCGAAGGCGGCUCUCUGGACCGGCACUGACGCUGAGGCGCGAAAGCUAGGGGAGCAAACGGGAUUAGAUACCCCGGUAGUCCUAGCCCUAAACGAUGAGCACUUGGUGUGGCGGGUAUCGACCCCUGCCGUGCCGAAGCUAACGCAUUAAGUGCUCCGCCUGGGGAGUACGGUCGCAAAGGCUG
rnacentral:rRNA from 1 species